rnacentral:rRNA from 1 species
AUUGAACGCUGGCGGCAGGCUUAACACAUGCAAGUCGAGCGGUAGCACAGGAGAGCUUGCUCUCUGGGUGACGAGCGGCGGACGGGUGAGUAAUGUCUGGGAAACUGCCUGAUGGAGGGGGAUAACUACUGGAAACGGUAGCUAAUACCGCAUAACGUCGCAAGACCAAAGAGGGGGACCUUCGGGCCUCUUGCCAUCAGAUGUGCCCAGAUGGGAUUAGCUAGUAGGUGGGGUAAUGGCUCACCUAGGCGACGAUCCCUAGCUGGUCUGAGAGGAUGACCAGCCACACUGGAACUGAGACACGGUCCAGACUCCUACGGGAGGCAGCAGUGGGGAAUAUUGCACAAUGGGCGCAAGCCUGAUGCAGCCAUGCCGCGUGUGUGAAGAAGGCCUUCGGGUUGUAAAGCACUUUCAGCGAGGAGGAAGGUGGUGAACUUAAUACGUUCAUCAAUUGACGUUACUCGCAGAAGAAGCACCGGCUAACUCCGUGCCAGCAGCCGCGGUAAUACGGAAGGUGCAAGCGUUAAUCGGAAUUACUGGGCGUAAAGCGCACGCAGGCGGUUUGUUAGUCAGAUGUGAAAUCCCCGGGCUCAACCUGGGAACUGCAUUUGAAACUGGCGAGCUAGAGUCUCGUAGAGGGGGGUAGAAUUCCAGGUGUAGCGGUGAAAUGCGUAGAGAUCUGGAGGAAUACCGGUGGCGAAGGCGGCCCCCUGGACGAAGACUGACGCUCAGGUGCGAAAGCGUGGGGAGCAAACAGGAUUAGAUACCCUGGUAGUCCACGCUGUAAACGAUGUCGAUUUGGAGGUUGUGCCCUUGAGGCGUGGCUUCCGGAGCUAACGCGUUAAAUCGACCGCCUGGGGAGUACGGCCGCAAGGUUAAAACUCAAAUGAAUUGACGGGGGCCCGCACAAGCGGUGGAGCAUGUGGUUUAAUUCGAUGCAACGCGAAGAACCUUACCUACUCUUGACAUCCAGAGAACUUUCCAGAGAUGGAUUGGUGCCUUCGGGAACUCUGAGACAGGUGCUGCAUGGCUGUCGUCAGCUCGUGUUGUGAAAUGUUGGGUUAAGUCCCGCAACGAGCGCAACCCUUAUCCUUUGUUGCCAGCGGUUCGGCCGGGAACUCAAAGGAGACUGCCAGUGAUAAACUGGAGGAAGGUGGGGAUGACGUCAAGUCAUCAUGGCCCUUACGAGUAGGGCUACACACGUGCUACAAUGGCAUAUACAAAGAGAAGCGACCUCGCGAGAGCAAGCGGACCUCAUAAAGUAUGUCGUAGUCCGGAUUGGAGUCUGCAACUCGACUCCAUGAAGUCGGAAUCGCUAGUAAUCGUAGAUCAGAAUGCUACGGUGAAUACGUUCCCGGGCCU